rnacentral:rRNA from 1 species
GAGAGGACGACCAGCCACACUGGAACUGAGACACGGUCCAGACUCCUACGGGAGGCAGCAGUGGGGAAUUUUGGACAAUGGGCGCAAGCCUGAUCCAGCAAUGCCGCGUGAGUGAAGAAGGCCUUCGGGUUGUAAAGCUCUUUUGUCAGGGAAGAAACGGCUCCGGCUAAUAUCCGGGGCUAAUGACGGUACCUGAAGAAUAAGCACCGGCUAACUACGUGCCAGCAGCCGCGGUAAUACGUAGGGUGCAAGCGUUAAUCGGAAUUACUGGGCGUAAAGCGUGCGCAGGCGGUUUUGUAAGUCUGUCGUGAAAGCCCCGGGCUCAACCUGGGAAUUGCGAUGGAGACUGCAAGGCUUGAAUCUGGCAGAGGGGGGUAGAAUUCCACGUGUAGCAGUGAAAUGCGUAGAGAUGUGGAGGAACACCGAUGGCGAAGGCAGCCCCCUGGGUCAAGAUUGACGCUCAUGCACGAAAGCGUGGGGAGCAAACAGGAUUAGAUACCCUGGUAGUCCACGCCCUAAACGAUGUCUACUAGUUGUCGGGUUUUAAUUAACUUGGUAACGCAGCUAACGCGUGAAGUAGACCGCCUGGGGAGUACGGUCGCAAGAUUAAAACUCAAAGGAAUUGACGGGGACCCGCACAAGCGGUGGAUGAUGUGGAUUAAUUCGAUGCAACGCGAAAA